rnacentral:rRNA from 1 species
UCGAAACCUAAUCCGAUAAGGAACAACCCGCGAACCAGUUAUCACACAUGCGGUGCGUCGAAGACUCUAACCGGUCGUGACGGCCGCCGAAUCCGUGGGGUCGCUUUCGGCUCAUCGAGUGUGUAGUCGGAGGGCCGUCGGUGAUUCCGCGGAAAUCACCAAACCCCGGCGCGAAAAGCGCCAAGGACCAUACAACGAAACUGCUCCCUCGGGACACCGCGCAUGCGUUGCGUGUCCGGAUGCGUGGCUGCGAUCACAAGUCUAAAAAGACUCUCGGCAACGGAUAUCUCGGCUCUCGCAUCGAUGAAGAACGUAGCGAAAUGCGAUACUUGGUGUGAAUUGCAGAAUCCCGUGAACCAUCGAGUCUUUGAACGCAAGUUGCGCCCUAAGCCGUGAGGUCGAGGGCACGCUUGCCUGGGUGUCACGCACCGUCAUCUCCCAACCCGUCUCGGCUUUCGCUUGGACGAACAAGGAGAAGGAUAUUGGUCUCCCGUGUGGUUACCGCACGCGGUUGGCCUAAAAUCGAGACGCGGGGGUGCGGAGCUUCCCGACGAGCGGUGGUGUCAAGAUGCCUCGUGAAAAUGUCGGCCGCUUCCGUCCUCUGAUGCGCUCGUUGACCCCGUAAGUGUCGCCUCGGCGGCUCUUCGAACGCGACCCCAGGUCAAGCGGGA